GGAUGCAUGUUUAUGACUAAUCUUAGGCUUGGAUUUACUCAGAAGUAAGGCCCAUUCUGUAUAAGGUACAAGGCAGAUAAGUGUAAAUAGGACUGUAGCCUAGUUUACAGCUGAUGGCAUCUAUUUUUAUUUCAGUUCAAUCAACCAACAGGAUGAAAGUGAACUAUCUUGGACUAUGUCAGCACUUGAGAAUAACUCAUUCUUUAAAAAGGAACAACCAGCACCAUAUUAGAAAUGCUUAACUACUGUGAAGUCUUUACCUAUUAGAAUUUAAUCAGGAAGGACAAUUGCUGAACUACUACAACCACAAUACUUAUAUAUUUAUCACUUUUCAAAGAAUUAUCCCAGAAAGCUUAAGGAAGAUGGAUCCUGUCUGCUCAGGUGUAAAUGCAGAUCAGGUAAUUUGAAUUUCCAAGGAAUCUUUCAAAAUCAACUGGCAACCCAGUGGCACCAAAUGCACAUGAAGGUACUCAUGAUAAGGACAUUGGUAGAAGAUGAGCACCAUACACCAACUAUAUUCAUUUUCUAAAGAGAUCCUUUCAAGUUAUAUUGCAGUGGUUUCCCCAGCAGUGAAAAGAUGCAAGAGAAGAAUCUAUAUUGCUUGAAACAUUCAUAUUAUUAUUAGGGAGGGAGGGGUGAGUUAAUUGCUCUUGUGAAUGAGGACAGGUUCAAACAACAUUUGAGUUCAGAACUUCCACAGAGGUACUCAAAUAAUGUUAUCUGACUUUGUUCACAUAAUAGAUUCUCAGCUGUUCCCAGAACACACAUAUGUGGGUCAAAUAAACUGGGCAAUC